UGGGAUGACGUCAAGUCCUCAUGGCCUUUAUGUCUAGGGCUACACACGUACUACAAUGGCCGGUACAAAGGGCAGCCACUCAGCGAUGAGGCGCUAAUCCCAUAAAGCCGGUCUCAAGUCCGGAUCGCAGUCUGCAACUCGACUGCGUGAAGUUGGAAUCGCUAGUAAUCGUAGAUCAGCAUGCUACGGUCGAAUACGUUCCCGGGCCUU
rnacentral:rRNA from 1 species